UACGGAAGGUGCAAGCGUUGUUCGGAAUGACUGGGCGUAAAGCGCACGUAGGCGGGUUCAUAAGUCAGAUGUGAAAACCCUAGGCUCAACCUGGGACGAGCAUUUGAAACUGUGAAUCUUGAAUACCUGAGGGGUUGGUGGAAUUCCAGGUGUAGGAGUGAAAUCCGUAGAUAUCUGGAGGAACACCGGAGGCGAAGGCGGCCGACUGGCAGAGUAUUGACGCUGAGGUGCGAAAGCGUGGGGAGCAAACAGG
rnacentral:rRNA from 1 species